rnacentral:lncRNA from 1 species
UUGUUGAUGUUGUUGUUGUUGUUGUGGUUGUCGUUGUUGUUGUUGUUGUUGUUGUUGUUGUUGUUGUUGUUUGUUGUUGUUGUUGUUGUUGUUGUCGUUGUUGUCGCUGUUGUCAUCGUCAAUGUCGUCGUUGUCGUCGUCAUUGUUGUUGUCGUUGUGGUGGUGGUGGUGGUGUUGGUGGUGGUUGUUCUUAUUGUUGUUUUUGUUGUUGUUGUUGUUGUCGUUGU